UGGUUCCGGCAUCGAUGAAGAACGCAGCGAAAUGCGAUAAGUAAUGUGAAUUGCAGAAUUCAGUGAAUCAUCGAAUCUUUGAACGCACAUUGCGCCCCCUGGUAUUCCGGGGGGCAUGCCUGUCCGAGCGUCAUUGCUGCCCUCAAGCACGGCUUGUGUGUUGGGCCCCCGCCCCCCGGCUCCCGGGGGGCGGGCCCGAAAGGCAGCGGCGGCACCGUCCGGUCCUCGAGCGUAUGGGGCUUUGUCACUCGCUCGUGUAGGUCCGGCCGGCGCCAGCCGACACCCAUCAAUCUUACCCAGGUUGACCUCGGAUCAGGUAGGGAUACCCGCUGA
rnacentral:misc_RNA from 1 species